rnacentral:rRNA from 1 species
UAGUCCACGCUGUAAACGAUGAUCACUCGCUGUUGGCGAUACACAGUCAGCGGCUUAGGGAAACCAUUAAGUGAUCCACCUGGGGAGUACGGUCGCAAGAUUGAAACUCAAAGGAAUUGACGGGGGGCCCGCACAAGCGGAGGAGCAUGUGGUUUAAUUCGAUGAUACGCGAGGAACCUUACCUGGGCUUAAAUGUAAGACGCCAAUCCCCGAAAGGGGACUUUCCUUCGGGACGUCCUACAAGGUGCUGCAUGGUUGUCGUCAGCUCGUGCCGUGAGGUGUCGGGUUAAGUCCCAUAACGAGCGCAACCCCUAUCCUUAGUUGCCAUCAGAUAAUGCUGGGGACUCUAAGGAAACUGCCUACGCAAGUAGUGAGGAAGGUGGGGAUGACGUCAAAUCAGCACGGGCCCUUAUGUCCAGGGGCUACACACGUGCUACAAUGGCCGGUACAGAGGGGCAGGCUACCUGGCAACAGGGAUGGCUAAAUCUACGAAAACCGGGUCU